rnacentral:rRNA from 1 species
CAAGGAAGUUUGAGGCAAUAACAGGUCUGUGAUGCCCUUAGAUGUUCUGGGCUGCACGCGCGCUACACUGAUGCAUCCAACGAGUUUACAACCUUGGCCGACAGGUCUAGGUAAUCUUUUGAGUAUGCAUCGUGAUGGGGAUAGAUUAUUGCAAUUAUUAAUCUUCAACGAGGAAUGCCUAGUAGGCGCAAGUCAGCAGCUUGCGCCGAUUACGUCCCUGCCCUUUGUACACACCGCCCGUCGCUCCUACCGAUUGAGUGUUCCGGUGAAUUAUUCGGACCGU